rnacentral:rRNA from 1 species
UACGGGAGGCAGCAGUGGGGAAUAUUGCACAAUGGGCGCAAGCCUGAUGCAGCCAUGCCGCGUGUAUGAAGAAGGCCUUCGGGUUGUAAAGUACUUUCAGUCGUGAGGAAGGUGUUAAGGUUAAUAACCUUAGCAAUUGACGUUAGCGACAGAAGAAGCACCGGCUAACUCCGUGCCAGCAGCCGCGGUAAUACGGAGGGUGCGAGCGUUAAUCGGAAUUACUGGGCGUAAAGGGCACGCAGGCGGUUAAUUAAGUUGGAUGUGAAAUCCCCGGGCUUAACCUGGGAAUGGCAUUCAAGACUGGUUAGCUAGAGUCUUGUAGAGGGGGUAGAAUUCCGAUGUGUAGCGGUGAAAUGCGUAGAGAUGUGGAGGAAUACCGGUGGCGAAAGGCGGCCCCUGGACAAAGCUGACGCUCAUGGUGCGAAAGCGUGGGGAGCAAAC